rnacentral:rRNA from 1 species
UACGAAGGGUGCAAACGUUGCUCGGAAUUAUUGGGCGUAAAGCGCACGUAGGCGGCUUUGCAAGUCGGAUGUGAAAUCCCUCGGCUUAACCAAGGAAGUGCAUCCGAAACUGCAGAGCUUGAGUACUUAAGAGGAUCGCGGAAUUCCCGGUGUAGAGGUGAAAUUCGUAGAUAUCGGGGAGGAACACCAGUGGCGAAGGCGGCGAUCUGGGAAGAUACUGACGCUGAGGUGCGAAAGCGUGGGGAGCAAACAGG